CUACGUUCACACUGCAGGCGAAAGCGCAUCAAAUCCGAUUUUUUUGACCCUAUGCGACCCAUAUCCGAUCAUGGUAUGACAGUGUGAACGGCACAAAUCCGAUAUUUUCAAAUCCGAUCUGGGUCACAACUUCAACCCACCACGACCACCACCUUAAUUUUUUCAUCAACAGCCCUAAAUUUGGAACAGCGUGAUGUAAAUACAAGACGGGCCCUCGUCCUUCGUGCACUUCCUGUGUACCUGGUGAAGAUGCCUCCACGUUAUUCAGGACUUGUGAUUCAGCAGAUGGUCCAGACCUCACUGACACUCCUGUGGCUCUGCUGACAGUUGUCACGGAUGACACUACUGAUUCGGUCCUCUUCAGUCCCGAAAGCAUCUGCAUUGUCAUUGAGGAUGAAAUACUUGUGAAUGGUCCCACAAAUCUGGCAGACUCAUUUCUCCUGCUCUUUGGGUACAUCUAUGCACUAGACCUACAAUACCCAAAGAAACUUGAGCUUACAUUCACAUUUA